GGGUUGUGAGGUUAAGCGACUAAGCGUACACGGUGGAUGCCCUGGCAGUCAGAGGCGAUGAAGGACGUGCUAAUCUGCGAUAAGCGUCGGUAAGGUGAUAUGAACCGUUAUAACCGGCGAUUUCCGAAUGGGGAAACCCAGUGUGAUUCGUCACACUAUCAUUAACUGAAUCCAUAGGUUAAUGAGGCGAACCGGGGGAACUGAAACAUCUAAGUACCCCGAGGAAAAGAAAUCAACCGAGAUUCCCCCAGUAGCGGCGAGCGAACGGGGAGGAGCCCAGAGCCUGAAUCAGUGUGUGUGUUAGUGGAAGCGUCUGGAAAGGCGCGCGAUACAGGGUGACAGCCCCGUACACAAAAAUACACAUAUUGUGAGCUCGAUGAGUAGGGCGGGACACGUGGUAUCCUGUCUGAAUAUGGGGGGACCAUCCUCCAAGGCUAAAUACUCCUGACUGACCGAUAGUGAACCAGUACCGUGAGGGAAAGGCGAAAAGAAC
rnacentral:rRNA from 1 species